rnacentral:rRNA from 1 species
GAUGAACGCUGGCGGCGUGCCUAAUACAUGCAAGUCGAGCGAACGGACGAGAAGCUUGCUUCUCUGAUGUUAGCGGCGGACGGGUGAGUAACACGUGGAUAACCUACCUAUAAGACUGGGAUAACUUCGGGAAACCGGAGCUAAUACCGGAUGAUAUUUUGAACCGCAUGGUUCAAAAGUGAAAGACGGUCUUGCUGUCACUUAUAGAUGGAUCCGGGCUGCAUUAGCUAGUUGGUAAGGUAACGGCUUACCAAGGCAACGAUGCAUAGCCGACCUGAGAGGGUGAUCGGCCACACUGGAACUGAGACACGGUCCAGACUCCUACGGGAGGCAGCAGUAGGGAAUCUUCCGCAAUGGGCGAAAGCCUGACGGAGCAACGCGGCGUGAGUGAUGAAGGUCUUCGGAUCGUAAAACUCUGUUAUUAGGGAAGAACAUAUGUGUAAGUAACUGUGCACAUCUUGACGGUACCUAAUCAGAAAGCCACGGCUAACUACGG